GGGUAGUUUGACUGGGGCGGUCUCCUCCCAAAGAGUAACGGAGGAGCACGAAGGUUAGCUAAUCACGGUCGGACAUCGUGAGGUUAGUGCAAAGGCAUAAGCUAGCUUGACUGCGAGAGUGACGGCUCGAGCAGGUACGAAAGUAGGUCUUAGUGAUCCGGUGGUUCUGAAUGGAAGGGCCAUCGCUCAACGGAUAAAAGGUACUCCGGGGAUAACAGGCUGAUACCGCCCAAGAGUUCAUAUCGACGGCGGUGUUUGGCACCUCGAUGUCGGCUCAUCACAUCCUGGGGCUGAAGUAGGUCCCAAGGGUAUGGCUGUUCGCCAUUUAAAGUGGUACGCGAGCUGGGUUUAGAACGUCGUGAGACAGUUCGGUCCCUAUCUGCCGUGGGCGUUGGAAGAUUGAGAGGGGUUGCUCCUAGUACGAGAGGACCGGAGUGAACGCACCACUGGUGUUCGGGUUGUCAUGCCAAUGGCAUUGCCCGGUAGCUAAGUGCGGAAAAGAUAAGCGCUGAAAGCAUCUAAGCGCGAAACUUGCCUCAAGAUG
rnacentral:rRNA from 1 species